rnacentral:rRNA from 1 species
UACGUAGGGGCCUAGCGUUGUCCGGAUUUAUUGGGCGUAAAGAGCUCGUAGGCGGUUUGGCAAGUCGGGUGUGAAAUCUCCACGCUCAACGUGGAGGGGCCACCCGAUACUGCCAUGACUGGAGUCCGGUAGGGGAGUGUGGAAUUCCCGGUGUAGCGGUGAAAUGCGCAGAUAUCGGAAGGAACAUCAGUGGCGAAAGCGACUUCCUGGACCAAUACUGACGCUCAUGUGCGAAGGCGUGGGGAGCAAACAGG